rnacentral:sRNA from 1 species
GCUGGGCGUGGUGAUGCACACCUGUAAUCCCAGCUGCUCGGGAGGCUGGGGCAGGAGGAUCAUAAGUUCAAAGCCAGGGGCUGGGGUUGUGGCUUAGAGGUAGAAUGCUUGCCUAGCACAUGUGAGGCACUGGGUUCAAACUUCAGCACCACAUAAAAAUGGAAUAAAGAUAUUGUGUCCACC